rnacentral:misc_RNA from 1 species
AAGUCAGUGUGUAUGUGUCUUGUGCGGUCAGGGUUUUGAAGAUUUUUAUGAUGAAAAGAGUGACAAGUGGAUGUUCAAAGGAGCUAUUUACAUGGAUGAUUCAUUGAACGAAAGCGGUAUUCAGAAUUGUAUAGUCCAUGAGAACUGUACAUCAGAGGGUUCUCAAAAUUGGAUGCUUAAGGAUGAUAUAAAACAGGAGUCGGAAGACUGGUUUUCUGAUUUCAUGGAUUAAAAGGAAUUGCGCAGGGGUAUGUUAAU